AUUGAACGCUGGCGGCAGGCCUAACACAUGCAAGUCGGGCGAGGGGCGGACGGGUGAGUAGUAUGUGGGGAUCUGCCUGAUGGCGGGGGAUAACUACUGGACACGGUCGCUAAUACCGCAUCCCAGGAGAUGAACACAUAUGGGAUUAGCUUGUGGGGGGGGUAACGGCUCACCGAGGCGACGACCCCUAGCUGGUCUGAGAGGAUGAUCAGCCACACUGGGACUGAGACACGGCCCAGACUCCUACGGGAGGCAGCAGUGGGGAAUAUGGCACAAUGGGCGCAAGCCUGAUGCAGCCAUGCCGCGUGUAUGAAGAAGGCCGUCGGGUUGUAAAGUACUUUCAGUCGGGAGGCGUUACCGACAGAAGAAGCACCGGCUAACUCCGUGCCAGCAGCCGCGGUAAUUC
rnacentral:rRNA from 1 species